CCUACGGGAGGCUGCAGUGGGGAAUAUUGGACAAUGGGCGCAAGCCUGAUCCAGCCAUGCCGCGUGAGUGAUGAAGGCCUUAGGGUUGUAAAGCUCUUUCACCCACGACGAUAAUGACGGUAGUGGGAGAAGAAGCCCCGGCUAACUUCGUGCCAGCAGCCGCGGUAAUACGAAGGGGGCUAGCGUUGUUCGGAUUUACUGGGCGUAAAGCGCGCGUAGGCGGACCGUUAAGUCGGAGGUGAAAGCCUGGGGCUCAACCCCAGAACUGCCUUCGAUACUGGCGGUCUCGAGUCCGGGAGAGGUGAGUGGAACUGCCAGUGUAGAGGUGAAAUUCGUAGAUAUUGGCAAGAACACCAGUGGCGAAGGCGGCUCACUGGCCCGGUACUGACGCUGAGGUGCGAAAGCGUGGGGAGCAAACAGGAUUAGAUACCCGUGUAGUC
rnacentral:rRNA from 2 species